rnacentral:ncRNA from 23 species
UUGAAGCCAGCCGUUGCAAGUUCCGCAAGGAUUAAUAGAGAAACCGGUGCAAGUCCGGUACGAUCCCGUCACUGUGAUAGCGAGUCUGAGAGCAUUUAUGUCACUGGAUUUUGAUAAAGAAGAUCUGGGAAGGCGCUUUUGGGCGAUGAACUUAAGUCAGGAGAACUGCUUGCGAUUGUUUUUCGUUU